rnacentral:misc_RNA from 1 species
AACAUCGCGCACCUGCGGGAACCUGCGGAAGGAUCAUUAAUGAUUGGUGGCUGUUGCUGACUAGUGUUUCUAGUAUGUGCACGCCACACCUUCAAUCCCACUUACACCUGUGCACCUUCUGUAAUAGAUCUGUGUGGAUACGGAGAUAUGAAAGUUUGCGCUCUCGUACUCUGUUGAAGCAGUCUACUACGUUUUUUUACACACACACAAUAGUCAUUGAAUGUAUUUUUUAUUCUUAUG